GCCAGGCAUGGUAGCGAAUGCCUGUAGUCCCAGCUACUCAGGAGGCAGAGGCAGGAGGAUUGCAUGAGCCCGGGAGUUCAUGGCUGUAGUGAGCUAUGAUCCAUGACUGCACUCCAGCCUGGGUGACAGAGCAAGACCCUGUCUCUU
rnacentral:SRP_RNA from 1 species